CAGAACCCUGCAGAAUCAAACACACUGAAGAUACUGAAGAACUAACAGAGUUAAAUGAAGAAAAUGAGGAGAAUGAAGAACUGAGUGAAGUUGAGGAGAGAAAUCAUGUUAAAACUGG